CAAAGGCUUGGUCCUGACUUUACUAUCAACUUUAGCCAAACUUACACAUGCAAGUAUCCGCACCCCCGUGAGAAUGCCCUACAGUUCCCUGCCCGGGAACAAGGAGCUGGUAUCAGGCACAACCUUAAUUGAGCCCACGACACCUUGCUUAGCCACACCCCCAAGGGAACUCAGCAGUGACAGACAUUAAGCUAUAAGUGAAAACUUGACUUAGUCAAAGCUAAGAGGGCCGGUAAAACUCGUGCCAGCCACCGCGGUUAUACGAGAGACCCAAGUUGAUAGACUCCGGCGUAAAGAGUGGUUAAGACAAACUUUGUACUAAAGCCGAAUGCCUUCAGGGCUGUUAUACGCUCCCGAAGAUAAGAAGCUCAAUCACGAAAGUGGCUUUACACGAACUGAACCCACGAAAGCUAUGACACAAACUGGGAUUAGAUACCCCACUAUGCUUAGCCGUAAACAUCGAUGACACAAUACACAUACCAUCCGCCUGGGAACUACGAGCACCAGCUUGAAACCCAAAGGACUUGGCGGUGCUUUAGACCCACCUAGAGGAGCCUGUUCUAGAACCGAUAACCCCCGUUCAACCUCACCCUUCCUUGUUUUCCCCGCCUAUAUACCGCCGUCGUCAGCUUACCCUGUGAAGGUUCUAUCGUAAGCAGAAUUGGCAUAGCCCAAAACGUCAGGUCGAGGUGUAGCGUAUGGAAGGGGAAGAAAUGGGCUACAUUCACUAAAAUAGUGAAUACGAACAACGUACUGAAACGUACGUCCGAAGGAGGAUUUAGCAGUAAGCAGGAAGUAGAGCGUCCCGCUGAAAUUGGCCCUGAAGCGCGCACACACCGCCCGUCACUCUCCCCGAACUUAAAGUUUAAACGUAACUAAAACCCUAUAAUUGUAAAGGGGAGGCAAGUCGUAACAUGGUAAGUGUACCGGAAGGUGCACUUGGGAAAAAU
rnacentral:ncRNA from 1 species